AGGUAAGCUACUAAGAGCGAAUGGUGGAUGCCUUGACUGGUAAAGGCGAUGAAGGACGUACUAGACUGCGAUAAGCUACGGGGAGCUGUCAAGAAGCUUUGAUCCGUAGAUUUCCGAAUGGGGCAACCCAAUGUAUAGAGAUAUACAUUACCUAUAUAGGAGCGAACGAGGGGAAUUGAAACAUCUUAGUACCCUCAGGAAAAGAAAUCAAUAGAGAUUGCGUCAGUAGCGGCGAGCGAAAGCGCAAGAGGGCAAACCCAGUGCUUGCACUGGGGGUUGUAGGACUGCAAUGUGCAAGAGGUGAGUUUAGCAGAACAUUCUGGAAAGUAUAGCCAUAGAGGGUGAUAGUCCCGUAUGCGAAAAACAAACCUUAGCUAGCAGUAUCCUGAGUAGGGCGGGACACGAGGAAUCCUGUCUGAAUCCGGGUCGACCACGAUCCAACCCUAAAUACUAAUACCAGAUCGAUAGUGCACAAGUACCGUGAGGGAAAGGUGAAAAGAACUGAGGUGAUCAGAGUGAAAUAGAACCUGAAACCAUUUGCUUACAAUCAUUCAGAGCCCUAUGUAGCAAUACAGGGUGAUGGACUGCCUUUUGCAUAAUGAGCCUGCGAGUUGUGGUGUCUGGCAAGGUUAAGCAAACGCGAAGCCGUAGCGAAAGCGAGUCUGAAUAGGGCGCUUAGUCAGAUGCUGCAGACCCGAAACGAAGUGAUCUAUCCAUGAGCAAGUUGAAGCUAGUGUAAGAACUAGUGGAGGACUGAACCCAUAGGCGUUGAAAAGCCCCGGGAUGACUUGUGGAUAGGGGUGAAAGGCCAAUCAAACUUCGUGAUAGCUGGUUCUCUCCGAAAUAUAUUUAGGUAUAGCGUUGUGUCGUAAUAUAAGGGGGUAGAGCACUGAAUGGGCUAGGGCAUACACCAAUGUACCAAACCCUAUCAAACUCCGAAUACCUUAUAUGUAAUCACAGCAGUCAGGCGGCGAGUGAUAAAAUCCGUCGUCAAGAGGGAAACAACCCAGACUACCAGCUAAGGUCCCUAAAUCUUACUUAAGUGGAAAACGAUGUGAAGUUACUUAAACAACCAGGAGGUUGGCUUAGAAGCAGCCAUCCUUUAAAGAAAGCGUAAUAGCUCACUGGUCUAGUGAUUUUGCGCGGAAAAUAUAACGGGGCUAAAGUAAGUACCGAAGCUGUAGACUUAGUUUACUAAGUGGUAGGAGAGCGUUCUAUUUGCGUCGAAGGUAUACCGGUAAGGAGUGCUGGAGCGAAUAGAAGUGAGCAUGCAGGCAUGAGUAGCGAUAAUUAAUGUGAGAAUCAUUAACGCCGUAAACCCAAGGUUUCCUACGCGAUGCUCGUCAUCGUAGGGUUAGUCGGGUCCUAAGUCGAGUCCGAAAGGGGUAGACGAUGGCAAAUUGGUUAAUAUUCCAAUACCAACAUUAGUGUGCGAUGGAAGGACGCUUAGGGCUAAGGGGGCUAGCGGAUGGAAGUGCUAGUCUAAGGUCGUAGGAGGUUAUACAGGCAAAUCCGUAUAACAAUACUCCGAGAACUGAAAGGCUUUUUGAAGUCUUCGGAUGGAUAGAAGAACCCCUGAUGCCGUCGAGCCAAGAAAAGUUUCUAAGUUUAGCUAAUGUUGCCCGUACCGUAAACCGACACAGGUGGGUGGGAUGAGUAUUCUAAGGCGCGUGGAAGAACUCUCUUUAAGGAACUCUGCAAAAUAGCACCGUAUCUUCGGUAUAAGGUGUGGUUAGCUUUGU
rnacentral:rRNA from 1 species